rnacentral:tRNA from 1 species
GGUGGCUCAGUGGUAGAGUGCUUGCCUUACAUGCAUGCGGCCCUGGGUUCAAUUCCUCAGCACCA